rnacentral:lncRNA from 1 species
AGAAGACCUGCAAAUUCCUUUCAUUAAUACUCAAACCCAUGCAAUCUUCCAUGUGUCUUCUAUGAAAGAUUUUUAUCUGUAUCUUCCAUGCAACAUUCCAUCUGUCCAACAUGCACUUCUUAAGUAUAUCCAUGUUUCUCUAUAAAUACCACCAAUUUACUCAUCUAUCUAUCAUCAACAAAUCAACAAAUUUCUCUUGACACAAAAAUGGCUAUAUGCAGGCCAUGUUUCUCUAUAAAUCCUCCAUAAAAAAUUCAUCUAUAUUUUCAUGUAUCUUCUUCACAAGAGAACAAAAUCCCUACAUCUCUUCAUCUCACCUUUUUUUUUUUCUCUAAUAUCUAGUAUGGAAUUAAAACCUUUCUCCCUCAAUCCUUGAUGGAUUGCAACCACACCCAAGCAAUUUCUUUCCCC